rnacentral:rRNA from 1 species
AUUGAACGCUGGCGGCAUGCCUUACACAUGCAAGUCGAACGGCAGCGGGGACUUCGGUCCGCCGGCGAGUGGCGAACGGGUGAGUAAUGUAUCGGAACGUACCUUUCAGUGGGGGAUAACGUAGCGAAAGUUACGCUAAUACCGCAUAUUCUCUGAGGAGGAAAGCAGGGGACCUUCGGGCCUUGUGCUGAUGGAGCGGCCGAUAUCAGAUUAGCUAGUUGGUGAGGUAAAGGCUCACCAAGGCGACGAUCUGUAGCGGGUCUGAGAGGAUGAUCAGCCACACUGGGACUGAGACACGGCCAAGACUCCUACGGGAGGCAGCAGUGGGGAAUUUUGGGCAAUGGGCGCAAGCCUGAUCCAGCCAUGCCGCGUGAGUGAAGAAGGCCUUCGGGUUGUAAAGCUCUUUCGGACGGGAAGAAAUUGGUGGGGCUAAUAUCCCCAUCGGAUGACGGUACCGUAAUAAGAAGCACCGGCUAACUACGUGCCAGCCGCCGCAGUAAGAC